GGGGAUGAUCGGUUUCGACAUUGCCUGAGAGCGGGAGAGAAGCGGGCCGAGGAUGCAGAGCUAUCUCGUUAACGCUCUCUGCAAAAUAUAGGUGCCAAAGCUAAGCGCACCGACUUCGCCCUCGCUGCCUAAGCGAGCCUGAAGUCCGUCAGACCGGGCUAGAUCCCGACUCGUGUUCUGGCGUUAUCUAGGGAACUAGCUGCGUUGUUGCGCCGAAGGGCAACGCGGGACUUUCACUGCGGCUGGGCUCGUCGACUUAGGUGUCUGGUGACAAAAGUUGGAGCCGAGUAGAACGUUUCCACCGACUACGCCCGUAGAAGACUCACAAUCACAGCAGUGGACGGGGGUUCAAUUCCCCCCAUCUCCACCA
rnacentral:tmRNA from 2 species